UGUCACAUGAUCCGCGUAACUCCCAUGGAGCUCUCAGAUGAGAGGCUUCCCAAAACCCGAAGGAAGGUGAUGGUGGUUUCCUCACAUCCUCUGCUGCCCCCCCACCCCCCGCCCACGCUCUCUUAUGUUUCUUGUACUUUGUCAGGUCUGCUUCCUUUUCAGACCCUACUUAGGUUGCAGCUUUUACCUGGAGAAAACAGAGGAGAAGUGUUGAGUGAAAGGCAAUAAUCCAGUGUUACCUUCCCCAUCUUUUGACUGCUAGGAUGGCUGAUGCAAAGUCUCCCGAGAGAUCUGUGGAAUUAAUCUCUUGUCAUUGACUUCACAUUGGUGAGAUAGCAUCUUCACUCAUCUCUGUUAUUUUACACUGGUGGUCUGUGAUCAAUAGGAGCUUGGACACAGGCAUGUCACUGAUGUUUCAUUUCCAAGAGUGGGCUCUAAGCUAAAUGAGAGUUUCUGCUGUUAAUUUGUCAUGGAUUCCUCACCUAUAGCAAGAGUGAUGAUGAAUCUUCCUCAAGAGAUCUCCAAAGUGUAAAGUGAAACAGUG
rnacentral:lncRNA from 1 species